rnacentral:rRNA from 1 species
GACCAUGGUGUUCGUCAGUUCGUUUCGUGAGAUGUUGGGUUAAGUCCCGCACCGAGCGCACCCCUUAAGUUUAGUUGCCUCCAUUAAGUUGGCCACUUUAAGUGGACUGCCGGGGCCAACCCGGAGGAAGGUGGGGAUGACGUCAAAUCUUCUUGCCCCUUAUGAUUUGGGUUCCCCACGUGUUCCAAUGGCCAAUCCAAAGGGAAGGGAAACCGGGAGGUCAAGCAAUUCCCAUAAAGUUGUUUUCAGUUCGGAUUGUAUUUUGCAAUUGGAUUCCAGGAAGCGGGAAUCGUUGGUAAUCGUAGUUCACCAUGUUACGGGGAAUACGUUCCCGGUUUUUUUACACUCGGUUUUUAAGGUUGCUACA